UUUUUAAAUUCUUCUAUUCCUUGCCCUGAACUUUUAGAUAGUCGUUUUACAGCAAUCUCCUGUUCAUUAGAUAUCUGACCCUUAUAAACUGAACCAAAGCCACCCUGGCCAAGUUUGUUAGCUGGAGAGAAGUUGUUAGUGGCAGCAACUAUGGUGCUGAGAUCAAAAAAUUCUAUGUCAGGAGGAUGGCUAUUCCGACCAAGCUCACUUGCCACCAGAGUAUUUUUGUAGUUGAUUGAAUCAGUGGUAGGAUCAAAGAGUUUUCUUUUCCAUUUGUUCUUAGUCACACUUUUCUUCCUCCUAAUCCACAAAUAGGCAAAUAAGAUAACGGUGAGCCAUGCUAAAACAACGGACAGUAUUAGAAUGUCUAGCCCCUUUCUGAGAAAAAAGCUUGACUUUGUGGCAUUUGCAGCUAAUUCAGUUGCAUCAACACGAACAUACAGAUUAUAUUUGUUAUCCAUAUGAUCUGCUGUGUCUAUUAGUUCCCCAUACCAUGCUACACAUCUACUAUCUUUCCCAGCAAUUUCUACAUUUGUAUAUGCAGAGCAAGAACAAUUCCUCAAGCAUUCCUGUUCACACUCCACAAGGCUCAUAUUCAUGCCCACAAAAGCUGCAGUUGAAGUGUCAGGAAACUUGACGUUUUCAACUUUCACAAACCCUUCUCCAUGUCCACAGACUGAGGAAGAUUCUAAUCGCUUCCUGACACAUCCUCCUGAUGCAUCUCUUAGAUACCAGUCCCUUGGGGAUUUGGGUUCAUACC
rnacentral:misc_RNA from 1 species